rnacentral:rRNA from 1 species
GGUUACCUGCGCCAGGACGGAAAGACCCCAUGGAGCUUUACUCCAGUCUGGUACUGGGACUCGGUAUUGCAUGUACAGGAUAGGUGGGAGGCUAGGAGAUGGUAACGCCAGUUGCCAUGGAGCCGCUGUUGGGAUACCACCCUUGCAGUAUUGGGUUUCUAACCAGCCGCCGUGAACCGGCGGUGGGACAAUGCCAGGCGGGGAGUUUGACUGGGGCGGUCGCCUCCGAAAGGGUAUCGGAGGCGCUCAAAGGUCAGCUCAGCACGGACGGAAACCGUGCAUCAGAGUGUAAACGCGUAAGCUGGCCUAACUGCGAGGGUGACGGCCCGAGCAGUAACGAAAGUUGGAGUUAGUGAUCCGGCGGUAUGUGAAUGGAAAUGCCGUCGCUCAACGGAUAAAAGCUACCCUGGGGAUAACAGGCUUAUCACUCCCAAGAGUUCACAUCGACGGAGUGGUUUGGCACCUCGAUGUCGGCUCAUCGCAUCCUGGGGCUGUAGUAGGUCCCAAGGGUUGGGCUGUUCGCCCAUUAAAGCGGUACGCGAGCUGGGUUCAGAACGUCGUGAGACAGUUCGGUCCCUAUCCGGCGUGGGCGUAGGAUAUUUGUGAGGUGCUGGCGUUAGGACGAGUGGCCCGGGGGGG